rnacentral:tRNA from 1 species
GCCCGGGUGAUGGAAUGGCAGACAUGCGGGUCUUAGAAGCCCGUGCCGCAAGGCGUGCAGGUUCGAGUCCUGUCCCGGGCACCA